UAAAUGGAGACAUGGACAUCAGUGGUUACUGUACCUGCUCAAAUCAAAUGAUGUUAUUGUUAACAUACAGCAGGCUAGAAUUUCUGAUUGUUCGGUCUUCUAGGAAGAAAACAGAAAAAUAUGCACUGUCUAACUGUCCGGCUGACUUGCACAUCUUUAAAGAACUCUGUUCCGUAGCACAACUCUUCACUAGAGUCAGGGUUAAAAGGAGUGGCACACGCUCAGAGACUACUGGACAUGGAAAACAUAUUGUUCUCACCUGAGCAACAGUGCAGUACAAAGAGCUGUACAGAUAAAAGGGGAAAAGACCCAACGAGGCUGGGCACUGAGGAACCACGUGAGGAAAGCUUUAUCAGGGAUCCACCCACGCCAGGAUGUCCCGCCGACAGCAUCCACAGGGGACGCCGUCGCAAGGACUAACCCGACCAGGACAGAAGCGAGAAGUCGACACGGUGGCCAACGUGCCACCAUGCGGACCACCAGCCACACCAGCACUGAACUGACCAGCUGAUUCACAGCGUUCACAGACAUUUUCAACACCUUACUGGAGCUCCAGCUUCAACUCCUCCACCAUCAUCCCUGUCCCCCAAAAACCAAAGCCCUCCACACUAAACUGUUGUUGUCUGGGAACGUGCUCAGUAACACCAUAUAAGUACUAGCUCAAGAAAACAUGAGUGUUGUCUUCAAUCUGUGUUUUCUGCAAUAAAAAUAUUCCUUCUCAGUU